CAAAGAAUAUUUCAGAUAGCUCUAGUGUACCAUUGUAUUUCCGCUUGGGAAGGAAAGAGUAACAACAUCCUUUUAUAUUAAUUUUAAUAAAUUAGUAACUAUUUUUGCCCAACAUUAAAAAUAUUAAAUAAAAAGUAAAUACCAUUUUAAAUAGUAGCUAGCCCAUACAAUCUGUUGAGAUAUAUGUAGGGCAAUGAUGAUAAACCCCAUACAUAGACCAUUAUGAGUCAAUGAGUGAGUCAUAUCUGAGCCUAAUAGGCUAUUUGUGUAAUAGGCUAUUCUAUAAUAGGCUAUCUAUGUAAUAGGCUAUUUGUUUAAUAGGGUCAUUUUGUAUAUAUGCUGAAGGGUCGUUUGUAAAAUGACCCGAAAACAUGCAAGAAACCAUAGAAAUUUAGAGAGAGAAAGUAGAGAGAAGGAGGAGAGUUUCG
rnacentral:lncRNA from 1 species